GCUUCUAUCGUUCAUCGGCUAGGACACUACUCUGUCACAGUAGAGAAAUGAGUUCGAUUCUCAUUAGAAGCG
rnacentral:tRNA from 1 species